rnacentral:lncRNA from 1 species
AGGCAGAACUUGUCGAGCUGACAUCUUCAAAAUGGUCGUUGCUGAAGUUGCAUACUCUGUCUGGAUGGAAAGGAACUCAAGAAUCUUCAACAACACUUUUCGUAGCUGUGCAGCCCUAAUGAGGAAGAUAGUAUACAUUUGUAACGUUAGAGGUACCCCUAGACUAAAAAGCAGUUGCAACAAUGCCAACCUUUGUAAUGUUAGGAGGUAGGUUGCUUAUAUGCAGUCAAAUGUUGCAUUAGAGAUGAUCAGCUGAGUAUAAGUUAGAUUAUGAUUUUGUAAUGCUAUUUCGUUGGUGG